UGCACGGUGUAUAUUAUGUUUUUAUAUUUUGACAAGGAAAUGAAAGCUUAGAGAGAAAGGGUACUUGUUUUCUAGGGCACUUUUGUGGUCAUCACAUGCAUGUCUGCUUUUCUUCUUCACUGUUCCUUUGAAGGUAUCUGAUAAAGGGAGUGAGCCAAACAAUGGAUGUAAUGAAGAAGAAAAUUAGAUAUUGUUAUUGAAUAUCUUUGAGUCAUACUUUUAGUAUUGAACAUUUGUAUUGAACAUAUAUAUUGAACAUAUG
rnacentral:sRNA from 1 species